GUGGGGAAUAUUGGACAAUGGGCGGAAGCCUGAUCCAGCCAUGCCGCGUGUGUGAAGAAGGCCUUUUGGUUGUAAAGCACUUUAAGCGAGGAGGAGGCUCCUUUAGUUAAUACCUAAAGUGAGUGGACGUUACUCGCAGAAUAAGCACCGGCUAACUCUGUGCCAGCAGCCGCGGUAAUACAGAGGGUGCGAGCGUUAAUCGGAUUUACUGGGCGUAAAGCGUGCGUAGUCGGCUUUUUAAGUCGGAUGUGAAAUCCCUGAGCUUAACUUAGGAAUUGCAUUCGAUACUGGGAAGCUAGAGUAUGGGAGAGGAUGGUAGAAUUCCAGGUGUAGCGGUGAAAAGCGUAGAGAUCUGGAGUAAUACCGAUAGCGAAGGCAGCCAUCUGGCCUAAUACUGACACUGAGGUGCGAAAGCAUGGGGAGCAAACAGGAUUAGAAACCCUUGUAGUCC
rnacentral:rRNA from 1 species